CUGGGAGUGGACAGCCUGCUUCCGGCAGUCCCCGCCAGCCCCCGCCAGCCGUGGGAACUGGCAUGCCCCUUCCGCCAAACCCAGCAGUGCUGGGUGGGAGGAGUCAGGUCGGGGGUGGGGGUGGGGAGCGCAUAGCCCAGGGGUCGCGGCUGUCACCGCAGGGUCCGCCUUGGAGCCCUUUGCCCUUGGAAGGAACAAAACACAAAUAAAUAGAAGACUCUGACGACGCAGGGCUCUCAGGCAACCCAGACUGGGGCGGGCCCGCGGGGCGAGAAGAAACUGAGCGAGGAAGGAAACGGGUUUGGGCCUCGGAGAAAUCUGGCAGGCAGGGCUGGCCUGUGAUUAAAAAGAGGAAGAACCACAAGUCCCCGUUUAACUCAGCAGGGCUGCAGCCGGCUGCGAGAGGGAAAGUGCUUGCGGCUGGCAGAUUGCAGCCACCUUUUGGCAAAGGGUGCCAGUACCUGCUGCGCCGGCCGCGGGGCCUCCUGGCCACCGAGAGGCUGCCGUCGCCCCAGGUGCUGGAAGGGCUGCGCUGUGGGCCAACCAGGCUGGACUUCACGGAAGCCCUCCUUCCUCCUCAGAUCCUGCAUCUUUCGAGAGGACACCAGAACGGCGACAACAGCCCAGGCUCUGUCUGGCCUUCUCUUCCUCACGAUUCUUCGUGGCUCCCCGGUGCGCUCAGGAAGAACCACCCUCCAAAACAAACAGACAGACAGACAGACAGACAGACAAAAACGGACUCCGCACCAAGAACUUCAAGACACCACGUGUAGGCCAACGUGUUUCUUUGAUUUCUGCGUGUCCAAAAUGUCAGCUAGAAGAAAUCCAUGAGAAUGACGUCCAAUUUUUCUUAAAGGCGGUUGGAUUCUUUGACAAUAAGACAAGUCAUCUCCUGGAAGCACCCGCCUACCUCAAAGAAGAUAAUGAGCAUCGAAGAACCUCCUUAUGGAGAUGGGUUCAAAUGUGGCAAACGAGCCACUCUGGUAAAGAAAAUACCCUUGCUUCAUCACAGACAGAUUUCUGCCAAAAAUGGGCAAGCUUAAAUGCAGGACAAGGCGACUGCCAAACUCUGCCAAGACAGUUACGGUAAGCAAGUCCUAAACAGCUCCUGCUUCACAUUUAUGUCUGUCAAAUAUUCUGAGCCAGAAGGCUGAAGAUGAUGCUCCAACAUUAUAGAGAGUUAUGGGUGACUGACUGUUAGGGCAGCAAAGUGUCUGUCAAUUUUUAUUUUUUGGAAGCUGCUAACAUGCAUUUCCUAUUUACUUAAAAACUAAUUUUAUUCCUUCUCAAGUCUCUGAUGGGGCAGAAGACCAAAUCGUUAUAGUGCCACAAUUAAGCUUAAGUUGUUUAGAAGUUAAGAAAUCCUUUGAUAUAGGUAAUACCAAUUAGGAUAAAAGUUAAUUUAGGUAUAGAACUUUAAACUUGUCAAGAUAGGUAGGAUAAUCAGAUACAUUCCCCUAAGUUGCUAAAUACACAUGGACUGGACAUUGCACAUGUAGAUUUUACCUAACAGUUUUCAUAAUUAUUAUUGUAUUGAAAGAAAAGGAGCCUUUUAUUGGACUUAAAGGGGGAAAUGUUGGUAUAAUGUUCUUUUGAAAUGUGUACACUUUACCCUUGUUCAUUCAAAUGCUGAUUUCUCUCCCCCACUCUUUGGUUUCAAUCUGGAUACUGCAUUGUGAUACUUACUCUAAGCAUCACCUGUCUCAACUUUGUGUAAACAUCCAAAAUAAAACAACCAGCCACGAUGUGGAGCAAUAGAAGGGAGGAGCCAGAGGACAGGAAAGAGGGGAGGAGCCAAAGGAUAGGAAAAGAGUGGGAGGCAAAAGGGGAGGAAGAGCUGGGAGAAGAGAGGCAGGAGAGAGAUCUUGGAACGGGUGUAGAGAGAUGGACUGGACCUAAUGUAUCACAAAAGCAAGUAUAAUGUGGGAAAUCUAAAUGUUAGGAGACUGAGGGCUUGGAGGUUUAGGAUGGAACAACUAUUACCCUGCAUUAUGUUCUAGGUUAAUUAAAUAAAUUCCAGUCUGUGUGGUGAUUUGGGUAUACAGCUGUUUAGGAUUAACAGCAGCUUUA